rnacentral:rRNA from 1 species
UACGUAGGGGGCAAGCGUUGUUCGGAAUUACUGGGCGUAAAGGGCGCGUAGGCGGCACGGCAAGUCGGGAGUGAAAGGCCUGGGCUCAACCGAGGAACUGCUUUCGAGACUGCCGAGCUAGAGUGCGGAAGGGGCAACUGGAAUUCCCAGUGUAGCGGUGAAAUGCGUAGAUAUUGGGAAGAACACCUGAGGCGAAGGCGGGUUGCUGGGCCGACACUGACGCUGAGGCGGCGAAAGCCAGGGGAGCAAAGCGGG